rnacentral:rRNA from 1 species
CCCUUAGAUGUCCUGGGCUGCACGCGCGCUACACUGACGUGUCCAGUAAGCACCUAACCUCUUCCGAAAGGAACGGGUAACCUUUGCAAAGCACAUCGUGAUGGGGAUAGAUUAUUGCAAUUAUUAGUCUUGAACGAGGAAUUCCUAGUAAGCACAAGUCAUCAGCUUGUGUUGAUUACGUCCCUGCCCUUUGUACACACCGCCCGUCGCUCCUACCGAUUGAAUGUUCCGGUGAGCUCUUCGGACUGCGCGGUCUGCAGUUUCUGCGUUCCGUGCGGAAAGUUGCGCAAACCUUAACAUUUAGAGGAAGGAGAAGUCGUAACA